rnacentral:miRNA from 1 species
CUUGGCACUGGCGGAAUGAUCAC